rnacentral:misc_RNA from 1 species
AUGUUGAAUUAAAGUUAAUUUUUAAUGUAGUAGUUAAAAUAUUAGGUCUGUUCGACCUUUGAAACUUUACAUGAUCUGAGUUUAAACCGGUGUGAGCCAGGUUGGAUUCUAUCUUUAAUAAGAUUAAAUAUUUUAGUACGAAAGGACCAAGUAUUUAUUAUAAUAGUUUAUUUUAGAAUAUUAUUAAUAUUAUUUUGGCAGAUUAGUGCUUUAAAUUUAGAAUUUAAUUAUGUGAAAGUUUUCACAGAUAAUAC